CAGUGUGUGGCAUAGUGCUUUGAGCGUUGGACUAUGACUCUGGAGAACAGGGUUCGAUUCUCAGCUCGGUCA